CUGACAUCUAAGUGUGCUGUCAUUCUGUGACAUAAAACAACAUCAUGUGGCUCUAUUUACCUUUGCUCCUUUCAGCACUUGUAGGCGACACUUUUGGUGAUCUAAUAACAUCCCAUGGUUCUGAAAAACAAGCUCAAGAUGGUAACAGUGUUACUCUCUCCUGCAACUACACUGGCACUGUUUAUAAUCUACUGUGGUAUCGUCAGUAUCAAAGAUCCAAACCAGAACUCCUUCUGUACAUGACUGAAUCUGGAGAUCCAGUUAAAGAAGAUCCAUCAGCCCGCUGGUUAUCUGCUAAAGUGGACAAAAACAGAAAGCUCAUGGAUCUGGAAAUCAGCCCUGCUAAAGUAUCAGACUCUGCACAGUAUUACUGUGCCCUGAAGCCCACAGUGACAGGAGACACUUUUCUCUUGUACAAAAUCUUGCCACUGGUAGAGCAUAACAUCUAA